UACGUAGGGGGCUAGCGUUGUCCGGAAUCAUUGGGCGUAAAGCGCGCGUAGGCGGCCCGGUAAGUCCGCUGUAAAAGUCAAAGGCUCAACCUUUGAAUGUCAGUGGAUACUGCCGGGCUAGAGUCCGGAAGAGGCGAGUGGAACUCCUGGUGUAGCGGUGGAAUGCGCAGAUAUCAGGAGGAACACCGGUGGCGAAGGCGGCCUUCUGGGCCUGUUCUGACGCUGAGGAGCGAAAGCGUGGGGAGCAAACAGG
rnacentral:rRNA from 1 species